GAUGAAGAACGUAGUGAAAUGCGAUAAGUAAUGUGAAUUGCAGAAUUCAGUGAAUCAUCGAAUCUUUGAACGCACAUUGCGCCCGCCAGUAUUCUGGCGGGCAUGCCUGUUCGAGCGUCAUUACAACCCUCAGGCCCCCGGGCCUGGCGUUGGGGAUCGGCGGAAGCCCCCUGCGGGCACAACGCCGUCCCCCCAAUACAGUGGCGGUCCCGCCGCAGCUUCCAUUGCGUAGUAGCUAACACCUCGCAACUGGAGAGCGGCGCGGCCACGCCGUAAAACACCCAACUUCUGAAUGUUGACCUCGAAUCAGGUAGGAAUACCCGCUGAACUUAAGCAUAUCAAUAAGCGGAGGA
rnacentral:misc_RNA from 1 species